GAAGAGAGAGAAGUUGGUAGAGAGAGAGAAGCUCUGGCGACAGGCACGCAAGACGCCACCCGCCGCCGGCAAACAACCACCGUAACCAAACACACAUACUAACCACUUCAUCACUGUAAAUAUGGCAAGAGUAGUCACACCAGAAAGUGGAAUCCCACAAGAGCUAACCCCAAGACCCCUUAUGCACUGGUUCACUGGAAUGGGGAGUGCCCCGACGGUCAUGCAGGCACCACCGGAGAAAGGCGGAUGGAUCGACGAUGGCCAGAAAACUCACCUACUCCACUGAACCUAAAAUAGCGGAGAAACCGAUAAUGGCGGAAGUUGUAAAAGGCUUUAUGCACUUCACUGGAAUGGAGAGUGCCCCGACGGUCAUGCAGGCACCGCCGGAGAAGGUGAAAGAGGGUGCGGAUGGAGCGACGAUGGCCAGAAAACUCACCUACUCCACUGAACCAAAAAUAGCG
rnacentral:lncRNA from 1 species